rnacentral:rRNA from 1 species
AACGAACGUUAGCGGCGCGCCUAACACAUGCAAGUCGCACGAGAAAGGGCUUCGGCCCCGGUACAGUGGCGCACGGGUGAGUAACACGUAGGUAAUCUGCCCUGAAGUGGUGGAUAACUCUCCGAAAGGAGAGCUAAUACAGCAUAAGACCACGACGUCUCCGGACGUUGCGGCCAAAGCGGGCCUCUUCACGAAAGCUCGCGCUACAGGAUGAGCCUGCGGCCCAUCAGCUAGUUGGCGGUGUAAAAGACCACCAAGGCUAAGACGGGU